GCAAAACGCGAAGAACCUUACCAGGUCUUGACAUCCCUUUGACCGGUGCAGAGAUGUGCCUUUCCUUCGGGACAAAGGAGACAGGUGGUGCAUGGUUGUCGUCAGCUCGUGUCGUGAGAUGUUGGGUUAAGUCCCGCAACGAGCGCAACCCUUGAUCUUAGUUGCCAGCACUUUGGGUGGGCACUCUAGGAUGACUGCCGGUGACAAACCGGAGGAAGGUGGGGAUGACGUCAAAUCAUCAUGCCCCUUAUGACCUGGGCUACACACGUACUACAAUGGCCGAUACAACGGGAAGCGAAGUCGCGAGGCGGAGCCAAUCCUAUCAAAGUCGGUCUCAGUUCGGAUUGCAGGCUGCAACUCGCCUGCGUGAAGUCGGAAUCGCUAGUAAUCGUGAAUCAGAAUGUCACGGUGAAUACGUUCCCGGGUCUUGUACACACCG
rnacentral:rRNA from 1 species